AUGAACGCUGGCGGCGUGCUUAACACAUGCAAGUCGAACGGAGAUAUCAAUGAAACCUAGUGAUUGAUAACUAGUGGCGGACGGGUGAGUAACGCGUGGGUAACCUGCCUUAUCCAGGGGGAUAACAGUGAGAAAUUACUGCUAAUACCGCAUAAGCGCACGGUAUCGCAUGAUACAGUGUGAAAAAGAUUUAUCGGGGAUAAGAUGGACCCGCGUCUGAUUAGCUGGUUGGUGAGGUAACGGCCCACCAAGGCGACGAUCAGUAGCCGGCCUGAGAGGGUGAACGGCCACAUUGGGACUGAGACACGGCCCAAACUCCUACGGGAGGCAGCAGUGGGGAAUAUUGCACAAUGGGGGAAACCCUGAUGCCAGCGACGCCGCGUGAGUGAAAAAGUAUUUCGGUAUGUAAAGCUCUAUCAGCAGGGAAGAAAAUGACGGUACCUGACUAAGAAGCCCCGGCUAACUACGUGCCAGCAGCCGC
rnacentral:rRNA from 1 species